UUAGGAAGAAGGAUGAUUACCGUCUGUAGCCUUGUGCGAAGGACGGAGGAAAGUCCAGACAGCACAGAGCAGGGUGGUCAGCGUAAGCUGGCAGUCGAAAGACCUAGUUAGAGCAACAGUGACGAAUCGGGUAGCGCCGAGUGAAACGACUAAGCGAUUGAGUAUUUGUCUCGAAUAACCUCUUCAGGGUUUACCCUGGGUGAGCGAAGCGAGUCGAAGGGCAAUCCUCCCCGCUGCAAUCCUAGAACCGGUCGAGUGACUCGCUCAUUGACUGAAAUCAGGAGCAUUAGAUAAAUGAUCAUCGCUCCAAUUUGGAGUAACAGAAUCUGGCUCACUCUCUUCCUAAGCAA
rnacentral:RNase_P_RNA from 1 species